rnacentral:rRNA from 1 species
AUUGAACGCUGGCGGCAGGCUUAACACAUGCAAGUCGAGCGAGCGGCGGACGGGUGCGUAAUGUCUGGGAACCUGCCUGAUGGAGGGGGAUAACUACUGUAAACGGUAGCUAAUACCGCAUCCCAUCAGCUGUGCCCAGAUGGGAUUAGCUAGUCGGUGGGGUAAUGGCUCACCUAGGCGACGAUCCCUAGCUGGUCUGAGAGGCUGACAGGCCACACUGGAACUGAGACACGGUCAAGACUCCUACGGGAGGCAGCAGUGGGGAAUAUUGCACAAUGGGCGCAAGCCUGAUGCAGCCAUGCCGCGUGUGUGAAGAAGGCCUUCGGGUUGUAAAGCACUUUCAGCGAGGAGGCGUUACUCGCAGAAGAAGCACCGGCUAACUCCGUGCCAGCCGCCGCGGUAAUAC